rnacentral:lncRNA from 1 species
GGAGGACGCCGAGAGAGCCACGGGUCGGCCGCGCGGUCGGUACGGUAAAUCUCAGCGUCGGUCUCGGCGUCGGUCGGACGUCGCUUCGGGCGUCGUCGACCCUGCGCCUUGUGGCCGCCGCUCUUGCGGUCGGUCUGGCCGUCGUCGGCCUUUUUGGCGCUCUUGUUGUCCUUUUUGUCCUUCUUGCCGUGCUUCUUCUUUUUCUUGUCACGGCGGUCGCUGUCAAAGGUGUAGGUGGGCAGCGACGACAGGGUGGGCUCCGAGAUGAGCGGCGCAUCCCAGCCGCACGACCAAUUGGACGACGAGCGCGACGUCGACGCGGGCAGGGGCGAUCGGGGCUCUGUGCUCUCGAUGGUGGUCGUGGUCGUGACCGUGGUCUUUUUAUAACCGCGCUUGCCGUCAGACGACGAGAAUGUGCUCGUGUCCGUCAGCAUCGACCGAUGGCUAAACGUGCUCUCGUCGUCAUUGUCAUUGUUGCGCCGGCGAGAGUGUCGGCUGCGCGACGACGGCGGGGGCGACAUCGAGUCCAAAGGCUCGGUGACCAUGCAAAAGGCCGACUGGCGGCGUCUAGUGACCAUGGUAGGGGGUCGGCAAAGUGGAAAAAACCCGGUGCCGUUGCCUUUUGGUGUCCUUUCCUUCUCCCUUGUCUUUCCUCCUCUCUUCUGUGUGUUUUUUUCCUUUUUUUUGUUUCCCGCAGGGCGUCGUAGCGGGCUACUUUUUGCGCACGCGUACACAAAC